CGUGGAACCAGCGCUUCUGGCCCCGGCAGAACACCGCCUUCCAGAGGGAAAAAGAAGAAUUUAUCUACUCAAGACUGAAAGCCAAGGGUCUGGAAACAAGAGAUGAAACAGGCCAGAAAGUGACAUUGAAUGCAGAGGAAAUGGCUGACUUUUACAAGGACUUCCUACGUAAAAAUUUUAGAAAGCAUUUGCAUUAUAACAGAGAUUGGUAUAAACGUAACUUUACUAUCACAUUCCUCAUGGGACAAGUUGCUCUGGUGAGAGCCCUGAGGUGGCUUCGUCGGAAAACAACAAAUGCUGGAAAUCAGUGAUCACAGCUCCAUGAAGAAUGUAAUGCUACCUAGACUGCCUAGGUGUGCUAUUAACUUGCUAAUAGUGAUGUUCAGAAUCUGAAUGUCCAAUGUAAUGAUUGCUUAGGUCUGUUUGUUAGACUUCGUGUAAAUAAACGUUGCCUUUAGCCUUAAUUUACA
rnacentral:lncRNA from 1 species